GGACUCUUUAUCCAUGAAAAUUGUGUGUUUAUGAAGGCACUCUUAGGAAAACUCUCCUAGAGAUAAAAGUUAAAUGUAUCUGCUGGAGAUAUUAUUAAUUUCAUUUUGAUGGUACAUAAAGGAGAGAAAAUACCGAAAACGCUAGAGAGGAGUCUAAAGGUAGUUCCCUCUAGCAAGAUAUGGCUUUUGUCACACUCCUAAGCAUCUUGAUCUUCAAGGUACAUUGAAUGAGAGGCAGCAAGAAGAGCAGCACCAAUGCCAGAACCAUCAUUGGAGUGCACAAAAACGAUGCUCGUUGCUAACUCCUCUCCCAGCAAGUCCUUCAAAGAGUUCUCUAAACACAUCCUGUAUUCUGUAUAGUGCUCAUACAACCCGCCAUCCAUGGCUAUAACCGUCCUUUCUGAACCACCCUGCUUAGGCGUAUCUCUUCCCAUCUUUUUCAAGAUGCCCAAUACACCUGCAGCUGCAAGUCUUGCCCCACGUGUGGCAACGAUAUUGCACAGCUCAACCACUAGUUUUCUCGUCUUCAAGGAGGUAUUAGAUAUCUCUAAAAUAUCCUUCAGCUUUUCACCAACCACUUUCAGAUCAGAGGAUGUGUCAUGAUGCAUAGCAGACAUAUCAGGUGUCCUUAACACAAAUGGUUCCUUGAGCUUUGGAGGGACCUCAUCACCAAAAACGCCAGCUUCUUCAGCCAC
rnacentral:misc_RNA from 1 species